UGGUCCUUUUACGUCGGCGAGCUGAGAGUCCGCUAUUGUCUGUAGGAGCGAUGACGCCAUCUUUUUCUGGGUCUUCAGAGCGGUUGCAAAGAAAUGGCCAGAUGGAGAAAGGCCCAAAUCAUCCAAGAGAAUUAAUAAAAAGUAAUUUGUUUAAGACCUGACUCAUUGAAAAGUGAAAGCACAGAGAUGUCGGCUGCCUGCUAAGUACCUAGCGCUUCUCGGCGAAUCAAGUGGCCAGAGACACAAGCCUUUGCUGGCGAAUGAGAACUGGAGGUGGCAAAAGGGCAGACAAGAAGAUGUGCAGUGUUGACUGGCGUGUUUAGAGUUGAAGUCUUUGCAUGGCUCUGGCUGUCCUCAUUCCUCCAUCUUACCUCCUAAACAAGGGGACUUCGUUUGCCUGCGGAGCCAUCUGCGAUACUACUUUUUAUUGAGUAGAACGUGGGAUCACACUUACAGAAAGUUGUGGGUUGUGUGCAAUCAGUGGAUGGGAGUGAUUAGUCAUUGGUCCUGUUGGGUUUAAAAUGGAUGGGAUUAAAGCUGGGUGAAAAUUUUCAGUGGUUUCAUGAGAAUCUUUACUGGGAUUAUGACACUUGUCUAGUGAACAGAAUUCAGUGUAAACGGGACAGCAUAUGAUGUGGCCUGUAAGGUUUGUUAAAUGCCAUAUUUUCUUGCCCAGUGGGGCUUAACUGAAUGCUGCAAUAAAUGUUCAUUUGCAACAA